rfam:Myotis davidii contig324467, whole genome shotgun sequence.
GAGACACCCCUAUGGAGCAGGCUUGCUUCAGUGGAGCUUUGGUGCUCACUGAGUCUGCCCCUUGAGUGUGUCACC